rnacentral:rRNA from 1 species
UACAGAGGUCUCAAGCGUUGUUCGGAUUCAUUGGGCGUAAAGGGUGCGUAGGCGGCGCGGUAAGUCGGGUGUGAAAUCUCGGAGCUUAACUCCGAAACUGCAUUCGAUACUGCCGUGCUUGAUGACUGGAGAGGAGACUGGAAUUUACGGUGUAGCGGUGAAAUGCGUAGAUAUCAGGAAGAACACCCGUGGCUAAGGCGGCUCUCUAGUACGGUACUGACGCUGAGACGCGAAAGCGUGGGGAGCGAACAGG